rnacentral:rRNA from 2 species
AAAUUGAAGAGUUUGAUCAUGGCUCAGAUUGAACGCUGGCGGCAGGCCUAACACAUGCAAGUCGAACGGUAACAGGAAGCAGCUUGCUGCUUCGCUGACGAGUGGCGGACGGGUGAGUAAUGUCUGGGAAACUGCCUGAUGGAGGGGGAUAACUACUGGAAACGGUGGCUAAUACCGCAUAACGUCGCAAGACCAAAGAGGGGGACCUUCGGGCCUCUUGCCAUCAGAUGUGCCCAGAUGGGAUUAGCUUGUUGGUGAGGUAACGGCUCACCAAGGCGACGAUCCCUAGCUGGUCUGAGAGGAUGACCAGCCACACUGGAACUGAGACACGGUCCAGACUCCUACGGGAGGCAGCAGUGGGGAAUAUUGCACAAUGGGCGCAAGCCUGAUGCAGCCAUGCCGCGUGUAUGAAGAAGGCCUUCGGGUUGUAAAGUACUUUCAGCGGGGAGGAAGGUGUUGCGGUUAAUAACCGCAGCAAUUGACGUUACCCGCAGAAGAAGCACCGGCUAACUCCGUGCCAGCAGCCGCGGUAAUACGGAGGGUGCAAGCGUUAAUCGGAAUUACUGGGCGUAAAGCGCACGCAGGCGGUCUGUCAAGUCGGAUGUGA